UCGCGCCGCCAACUGCCGGGGCGAGCGUAGCGCAGUGGCCGGAUCCCGGUAACUAAAGUUCCGAGAAGCCUGACUAAACCCUCAAAGCCGGGACUGUCAAGACUAACGCCGGCGCCGAGGGCGGCAGACGGAUGCGUCCCAGCGGAGCGCGCCUCUCGGCGUCAGGCUGAUGGAACAGGCAGCGAGGGGCGGCCAGGAGCCGGCACAAGUUAGGUCCUCGGCCGGAGCAGCCCAGGUUCACAGAAGACUCGGGCCUCAGCAGAAUGAUUAAAUGAUUCCAAAGUCUUCACCACUGAGCUUUGUCAAUGCUGACACCGGAAUGGAAAGCCCAAUUGUUCUGUGAAAGGCUGUGGAGACCCCCAAGGUGUAUGUCUGUGCGCCAAUGACAUGUUUGGGACCCACAGAAGCUGGAAAAGGGUGCUGGAUCUCCUGGAGCCUGAGUUACACAUGGCUUGUGAGCCACCAUGUGGGUGAUGGGAAUUGAACCCAGGUCCUCUAGAAAAGCAGCCAAUACACUUAAUUAACCACGGAGUCAUCUCUCCAGCAUCUGCUAACCCAAGUAAUUUCUUUUAAAGAAAGACAAUGGAGUAGUUCAAAAGAGCUCUUUAUAUUGCUCAAAAUUACCCGCGAAAGAGCACUGUGCACAGUAAAUACCGAAUGCAUAUGCACUGCUUUAAUCAAUGUGCUGUAGACUAGAGCAAUCAAGUCGAAAAACAAAAGCAUUAUGGAACCGUGCUUUCCCUAGUGACGCUGUCUAAAAGGCCGUAACUGGCAAACGAAAGGACCACACUUCAGUCCUAACUCUCAAAGCACACAGUAAAUGUGGCAGAGAUGCUGGUGAAGUCGUUGAGGCAGUACUUCCUGAGCAUUUCCCAUUUGGAACUGUUCAUAGUAUUUUCAGUCAUGUUUGAGGUUGUGAUAGAGUAUUGUUUUAAUAUUUUUACCUCAAUAGCCCAACUUUGUACUAACUUAGAUUUAGCUCUGUGCUAAACGGAAAUACUAUCAUUACUUUCUACAUAUAUUAAAAUUAAUGUAUAUAGUUGUAAUUAAAGAUAUUUAUGUCUGAGGGUUCUUAAGAAUUAUGUAUUACCCCCAACUUCACCAUGGCUUGGGAGUAACUAAUAUAUAACAUUGUAUUUUUUUUGUUUAAUGUCAACUUCAGUUAAAGCCUGCAUGGUUUAGGGAUUACAAAUGAUAUCUGGUUUGGCAUCUAGGUUUUUGUUUGUUCUCUGUUUCUUUAUUUGGAGAUGUUUGGGGUUAAAUGCAAAUCUUUGUGGAUGCAAGUCUUCUAUCUUUGAGCUAUGCCUCCUGCCCACUGUCAUCUGGUUUUAUGACUUAUGGUCUAAUUUUGUAUAUUUGUCUCUUUAUGGAAAUUCCAAGCAUGAAUAUUUUCAUAGAUCUCAUACAAGUGGCCUGCCUUUUUCUUAAACAACACUCUCCCCCAACCACCCACAUACAGUAGAAGUCCACUAAUAAAAUAUAGGAUAUUUCUAAUUUU